GAUCGAAGACAGGCAGUUAACAGCGUCCUCCUUUAUGUCUGCUGAUUGGAGUCCCGUCUGGGCCCGUUUGAAUAACAAGUUCGUCCACCGUGUCACCUGGGGUUGUUGGCGGCCAGCCGCCUCGCAAGUCGGUGAAUUUUUCAAAGUGGAUUUGGAGAAAGUGUUUGUUGUCAGGAAAGUGGCUACUCAGGGUAUUCCCCAAAAUCCAUUGGGCAAACAUCUCUGGGUGACACGUUACCAGUGUCAGUAUAGUACAGACGGCAACAAGUGGGUCUAUACCCAGGAAUUAACUGGCAAUUCUGAUCAGGAGACUGUAGUGACUCACGUGAUCGCGGGCGCGCAUGGAGUGCAGGCUAGAUACGUGGCCCUCGUGGUGAAGGCUUGGAACCAGCAAAUCGGCCUCAGGAUGGAACUUUAUGGCUGUAGUCGAGAGCAUGCUCUUUUUUCCCCCUCUUUUCAAACAGCGGAUCAGACAGCGAUUGUGUAGUUAGUUUUAUGGAUUAAUUAAUCGUUUUGGCGAUUGAAGAUGAUUAAGUAAAACCAAAACAGAGUCGCAAAAUACACAAAAGUUUCGGACUUUUAAUUCAAGCCUGAUUCAGAGCGACUUAUCGUUACCAUGCACUACAGGGUUAACUGUCGUUUGCGCCAAAUAAUUGUGAUAAAGACAAAUUUGUCAACAAAUAUUUUAAUGUCAUAAAUGAAAGCGAUUGAUUAAUGCAAAAUUAUCUUAAACUGCAAUAGUAUUGGUCUCAGUGAUUUUUUUCUAGCAUGCUUUAUUUACUUGAUCUAGCUAGUGGUGGACGGAUGGAGGGCAAUUACCCCCUCCCCUCCCCCAAGCAAACUAAAUUGGUAUUUUCUCAUAGAAGAAUCUCCAAAUCUUUUUUCGCAUUAUAUCACUCCCAUUGUGUGAGCAAUAUUAUGAAGGACUAAGUAAAUGGACCUUAGAAUAUAUUAUUUAUAAGUGUGUUUGUAGAUAUGAAAUUCUAGUAAGUUCUAGUAUUGUAAAAAGUAGGGUCUAGAUUGUUAGUUCUAGAAUAGUCGGAUAAGUCUUUGUAAAUAAGACAUAUUUUGUAGAUAUUUCGUGAAAGUUCGCAGUCACGCGAUAUUGUUUAUUUGAUACAGAGAUUAGUUCUAGAGUGUUCUAGAAUGUAGCGUGACAAAUACAAAUGAAAAGCCAUUUAGUAGUUACUAGAUCUUGCUCGCGUGAGCGUUAGUAAAAUCACAUAAGUUCAGGAAAGUUCAUAAGUGAAGAGAAAAUUCCAAAAAUAGCGUUAGGUUAAUUCUAGAAUAUUAGGUAAUUAGCUAUAUUUAGUAAACAGAAGAGUAUAAAAGGAGAAGCGUUAGUAUCGUCGUGAGUUUUUUUUAAUAUAGUUGAAUAGUCGAAUCGAAAGUCGAAUUGGAAAGUUAUAACAAGUCAUCAUCGGAAGAAUUAUCGUCGUAUAUAAAUAAAAAAGAUCAUCGGAGAAA